rnacentral:lncRNA from 1 species
CUGUCUAAAACUGGAUCACUUUUGCCCUCUGGUAUUUAAAGGCCACGCUAAAGGUCAGUUCUGGUUAUUCCGUGAUCCUGAAGCGAUUUUUCCUGCCACGUACAAUUGACAUCAAAGCAUGAACACAUGCAAAAAAANGGAGAAAGAAAAUAUAGAAUGGGCUUUCUGCAGCCUUGUCCGGCUUGUCCCUUAGGAACUGGACUGGGUCAUAGGAGGGCAGACCUCUACACUGCUUGAACUGAAAGUGGGAAGAGACUUAACUCCAUUCGGAAGAGUUCCAAAAACUCCAGCUUGCUACACCCUGUGAGAGUGGUUGUGAAUUUCCUGUGUGGACUUCAGUAACUUCAAGGGAUAGUGCGAAUGCAGUCCUCCACUACCACAAUUUAGCAAAGGAAAACUGCUCAAUAGCAGUAGAGGAGCAGAUUUCAGCAAGUGUGCCUACCAAGAGGCAGGGCAGAUCUUCAACAGGAGGCAGAAAAGGAUGAUUCCAGUGGUG